rnacentral:rRNA from 1 species
ACAAGCGGUGGAGUAUGUGGUUUAAUUCGACGCAACGCGCAGAACCUUACCUGGUCUUGACAUCCCGGGAAUUUCCUUGAAAGAGGGAAGUGCCUCGCAAGAGGAGCCUGGAGACAGGUGGUGCAUGGUUGUCGUCAGCUCGUGUCGUGAGAUGUUGGUUAAGUCCCGCAACGAGCGCAACCCCUAUUGUUAGUUGCCAUCAUUCAGUUGGGCACUCUAGCGAGACUGCCGGUAAUAAACCGGAGGAAGGUGGGGAUGACGUCAAAUCAUCAUGCCCCUUAUGACCUGGGCUACACACGUGCUACAAUGGUUGGUACAACGAGUUGCGAGUCGGUGACGGCGAGCUAAUCUCUUAAAGCCAAUCUCAGUUCGGAUUGUAGGCUGCAACUCGCCUACAUGAAGUCGGAAUCGCUAGUAAUCGCGGAUCAGCACGCCGCGGUGAAUACGUUCCCGGGCCUU